rnacentral:lncRNA from 12 species
GGCAGUGUGAAUAGUGUGUUUGAGAGGGAAGCCCAGUGAGGACUACUCAGUUACUGGGAGAAGCUGUUUGUUAGAAGCUGCUAAUACCACUACAUGAAAGAGGGUGGAAUUUACUCUCCUUGAUGGGGAUUUGCUGAACCCCAGCUGUGAGAAGGACAUGGACUCUCUGGGAGACGACUGGGGUACUGUAAUGCAGAAUGUCUGACCUGUAAUCACAGGACAGGAAAUUC